ACAGUAGGCCGGUCUGUCGCUGCCACUUGUUGGGAGAGGAAAGUCCGGGCAACACAGAGCGCCAUACUUCCUAACGGGAAGGCACGCGAGAGCGUGACAGAAAGUGCCACAGAAAGGAUACCGCCCGCUUGCGGGUAAGGGUGAAAACGUGAGGUAAGAGCUCACGCCGCCGUCAGUGAUGCCGGCGGGGGUAAAC
rnacentral:RNase_P_RNA from 1 species